ensembl:lncRNA
CUAAUACCCCGUGUUUCAGAUGUUCAGGCCAAGGAGGAAGAAGGAAGCAGUGAGGAUGGCAGUGUGCAGUCUAAAAGCUAAGCCAGGACUUCUCAAACUCUGUGUAAUUCCUCGGGAUGUUACUGAAACGCAGAUUCUGAGACGCCGCCUGAUGCUCUGCAUUUCUGACAGAUUCCCAGGGAUCACUGGAAUAUCUGAGCCUUUCAUUUUUUGCUUCCAGUUAAAAAAAAAAAAAAAAACACCCUUAAGAAGUCCAGGAUAGGAACCUGUUUCACUUCAGGGUCAGCUGCACGGAGAACAUUUGAACCUUGAGGGAAACACAGAUGUUUAUGAAGCCACAGGGGAAAAUGGGGGUUAACAGUUUACUGAAAAGUCCUUUGAGGCCAGAGACCUUUGCCUUGUUGUUCCCUGCUGGGUCAUGUGGCUAUCCCAGAAAUACGGUCAAGCAUCUUUUAAGAAUACUGACGCCAAUAGCAAGCAUCAUUGCAAGUUUAUUGUGAGCUGGGCAUUUUAUGGAUUAUGCUACGUGCACUGUCUCGCUCAAUAUUCCGACGUGCCCUUGGAGGCAGCAGGAGUGGCUUUGUGACUCCACACGAGGAGAAGCUUGGGCAACUCAAGGACCAACUGAGACCCAACCGGGGCAGAACUCUCAUAUGAGAACUGCGUACUUCCUCUUCCAUGCGGCGUGGCAGUCCAGAAGGCCCGUGUACAGAAUGCACAAAAGGAGCCCUUGGUCCUAUAUCUGGGGAAGACUACAUUCAAACUCAGAAAGGUGCAUGUACCCCGAUGUGCGUUGCCCCACUUUCCACAACAGCCAAGACGUGGAAGCAACCCACGUGUCCAUCAGGAGAUGAAGGGAGAAAGCUGCGAGGCACACACAAUGGGCUGCUGCUGCUGCUGCAGCUGCUGCUGCUGCUGCUCAGCCACCAAGUCACAUGACUCUCCCGUGACUCUUGUGACACUGCGGUCUGCAGCCCACCGGACUCCUGUCCAUGGGGUUUUCCCAGGCGAAAAUACUCGAGUGGGUUGCCCUUUCCUCCUCCAGGAGAUCUUUCCAACCCAGGGACUGAAUCCAUGUCUCCUAAAACGGCAAGUGAAUUCUUCCCACUGAGCCACCAGGGAAUGCUACUCAGCCAUAAAAGAGGAUGAAAUAAUGCCCUGUGCAGCAACAUGGAUGGACCUGGAGAGUGUCACACUGAGCGAAGGAAGUCAGAGAGAAAUAUCAUGUGAUAACGCUUGCAGGUGAAAUCUUUUAAAAUGCUACACGUGAACUUAUAUUUGAAGACAGAAGCAGACUCACAGACACAGAAAACGAACUCAGGGUCACCAGAGGGGAAAGGGGCUGGGGGCGUAAAGCAGGAGUCUGGGGUAAAAACAUACCCACCACUGCAUAUAAAAUAAACAGUAAGUCCCUACCAUCCAGCGCAGGGUGAUACGCAGGCUGGGGAGAAAGGGGAACCUGGGAGCUAAUACUUCAGGCGCAAACACCAUAGCCUCACAUUGUUCACUGUAUGAACACGCUCUUGUUUUCUGUUCAGAAGAGUCAACCAGACAGAUUUCUUUCAUCCUGAUACCCCCAGUUUAAGCUUCAUUAACACCAGUCUACUAUGCAAACAGUUCAAUUCUAUUUUGGGAGCAUCGAUGCAAGAUUCCAGGCUGCUGUUUCU